GCGUCAGCCGGUGGUGCAACGGUUAGCAUACGCGCCUGGAAAGAGUGAGAUCUGGGUUCGAAUCCCGGCUGACGCA